GAUGAACGCUAGCGGCAGGCCUAACACAUGCAAGUCGAGGGAGCAGCUUUCGGGCUUCCACCGCCGUACGUGUCGGUAACGCGUAUACAAACUGCUUUUCACAUAGGGUUAGCCCGAAGAAAAAUGGCUUAAUACCUAAUGUAAUAUCGGAGUGGCAUCACCUUUAUAUUAAUGCUGAGUCGGAGACAGUUUAGUAUGCGUUCUUUUAUCUAGUUGGAGAGGUAUCGGCUAUGCAAGGCGUCGAUAGAUAGGGGUGCAGAGAGGGAUAUCCCCCACACUGGUACUGAGAUACGGACCAGACUGCUACGGGAGGGAGCAGUGAGGAAUACUGGACAAUGGUCGGAAGACGGAUCCAGCCACGCCGCGUGCAGGAAGACGGCCUUAGGGGUUGUAAGCUGCUUUUGCAGGGGAAGAGUAAGGAGUACGUGUACUUUGAUGACGGUACUCUGCGAAUAAGCAUCGGCUAACUCCGUG
rnacentral:rRNA from 1 species